UAGUUGGUGAGGUAAUAGCUUACCAAGGCGAUGAUCAGUAGCUGGUCCGAGAGGAUGAUCAGCCACACUGGGACUGAGACACGGCCCAGACUCCUACGGGAGGCAGCAGUGGGGAAUUUUCCGCAAUGGGCGAAAGCCUGACGGAGCAAUGCCGCGUGGAGGUGGAAGGCCUACGGGUCGUCAACUUCUUUUCUCGGAGAAGAAACAAUGACGGUAUCUGAGGAAUAAGCAUCGGCUAACUCUGUG
rnacentral:rRNA from 1 species